UGGCCCACGCAGCUGGGGGCGAGGCUACCCGGGGGCGAGGCUACCCGGGAGUAGGAGGACUACCCGCAGGGGCUGGGGAGACCAAGAGUCCCAGCCCGGCCCAACACUGGGAGCAGAUGAGAGCACAAGUCCCUGGGCUCCGGCACUUACAGAUCGAAGACCAGACCCUGACCCCUCUCAGCCCCCGCCGGGUCCCCUGCUCCCAAAUGCAGCAGGGGUGGGGCUAGGGGUGCAGGGACGAAGGCCCACACCACCAGGUCUGGAAAGGAGCCGUCCAGGGACUUCAUGGGAGAGGAGUGCAGAGGGCGCCAUCGCCAACCUCUCGGGCCAGGCUGAGGCGGCAGGGACCCCCGGGCGGAGGACCACCUGCCCAGGGCCCAGUGCAGCAUCACUUCCAAAGGAACGGCUCAUUUGGACACUGCCCCCCCACGUGACGGAUCCUGCCUUCUGUGUCAGGAGCCUGCAGUGUGCUCAUCCCGAGAGGUUACA